ensembl:lncRNA
CCAUCUGGUCCCUGAUGAUUCCCAAGAUCAAAAAUGGCAGGAUAAAGCCAAGAAGAAUGGAUGGAAGGUGCCAAGAGGCAGAUUUUAAUUCCAUGUCUCUGAAGGAGCUGGCUGCCCAAGGAAACUAUCUUGAGCCUUUGUUGUUCAGUUGUAUACAACUUCUUGUGACCCCUAUUUGGAGUUUUCUUGGCAGAGUUCUAGAAGUCUGGUUCACAUCUCCCUCUCCAGCUCAAAAGACAGAUGAAGAAACAGAAGAAAGUGACUCACCCAAGGCCACACAGGGGAGGCAGCUGAGACACAAUUAACCAGGGUGGUGUCCAAGGACACGGGUCAAUCGGCAGCAGAGACUGGAGUGAAAUCUUGAUCUCCUGACUCCUUACCUCUGUGUUCUUCUCCCUGCAAUACCCUGGCAGACCUAUGUGUCUGUCAGCAUUCCAGCCAGAAAUAAAAGGAGAAGGAUCUUGUUUUAG